AUUGAACGCUGGCGGCAUGCCUUACACAUGCAAGUCGAACGGCAGCACGGGAGCAAUCCUGGUGGCGAGUGGCGAACGGGUGAGUAAUAUAUCGGAACGUGCCCAGUCGUGGGGAUAACGUAGCGAAAGCUACGCUAAUACCGCAUACGAUCUAUGGAUGAAAGCGGGGGAUCGCAAGACCUCGCGCGAUUGGAGCGGCCGAUAUCAGAUUAGGUAGUUGGUGAGGUAAAGGCUCACCAAGCCGACGAUCUGUAGCUGGUCUGAGAGGACGACCAGCCACACUGGGACUGAGACACGGCCCAGACUCCUACGGGAGGCAGCAGUGGGGAAUAUUGGGACAAUGGGCGAAAGCCUGAUCCAGCAAUGCCGCGUGAGUGAUGAAGGCCUCGGUCGUAAGCUCUUUUACCCUAGGGUAGUGAUAAUGACAGUACCU
rnacentral:rRNA from 1 species